AUCUGACCAGAGCUAGAAUUAGAUUCCCAGAUUGCAACUCAAACCAACUGAAUCCAGCAAACACAGUCAAGUGAGACAGACGGUGGGGCCAGCUGUCGUGGUCCAACGCUCACCUCAAAGCUCCACCGCUAACCUCCACCACAACUUCAAACGCUCCGCUUUCAAAAUGUUAAUUCAAUCCAUCCAUCCUUCCGCUGCUAAAAAAUUUACCCCAGGACCUAUAAGAAAAAACUCGAAUUUAAUUCGAUAACAAAAAACUCGACUCGAUUCGUUUACGGCCUCGUAAUACAAUGGCAACGACUUUCCUGCCACUCUCUUUCAACAAGCCCUCCCUUUCCUUCCUCAGAACUCCACCACUUCUAUUUUCCUCUUCAACUGUACGGACCUCCGUUUCAGUUUCCUGUUCCGUCAAUCACGCCGGUGCUGACAACGAAAGCACCGCAGUUGUAUGGUACAAACAAGACCUCCGCAUCGACGAUCAUCCCGGCCUCGUCUCCGCUUCGCGUCACCGGAAUUUAAUUCCUCUCUACGUGUUUGAUCACCGCGUUCUUUCUCGGUAUUCUGAAGAAAUGUUUGAACUGCUAGUCUUUGCUGUGAAGGAUUUAAAAAAGUCAUUGAGGGAUCAGGGAUCUGAUCUGAUGAUAAGGAUCGGGAGUGCUGAAAAUGUCAUACAAGAACUUGUAAAAGAGGUUAAGGCCACCCAUAUAUUCACAGAAGAAGAGGUAGAAUAUGAGUGGGCAAGAUUGAUGGAGACUGUCAAAGAGAACCUAGCAGCAUUGUCUGUCGAAGAGGGUAGCCCAAAUUUUUUAACGUGGUCUACUCCUUUUUAUGAUAUUAAGAAUGUAGGGGAUCUGCCAAUUUCACACCAAGACUUUGAGAAAUUAAAAUUGCCAGUACUUUCUCCUCUCUUGCCCCCUAAAUUACCUGAGGUUAAGAUGAAUAUAUGCUGGGGUACAUUGCCAACAUUAGAAGAUUUGGAAAGUUUUAAGAAUGAGCUUGUGAACAAACCAGAAGAUGAAUUUAUGUCGAUUAAGAAAACUUCAGCUGAAGAUAUAUUAAGGAAAGCUGAGGCUCUUUCAAAUAAUCAAAUUAAAGAUUCGUUGAGUAGUUCUUACAAGCAAGAUAAUCGCAGGAAACGAAGAAAUUCUGUAUUUUUAACACAAGGGAGUUCAGUAGGAGGUGGAACUGCUGAUGUACUGAAUGCAUUGGCUGCAUAUUUGAGAUACUUGGAGGGUACCAUACGAGAUGACUGGCAGGAAGUACAUGAAAAGUUGCGUGAAGCUGAAAUCCGGGAAGGGGCUUCAUUUGAUGUUCUUUUUGGGUCUGCCCUUUGCCUUGGAAUCAUUUCCAGACGGAGAGUUUAUUUUGAAUCCAUCAAAUACGAGAAAGAACGAAAUGCUGGGUUCCUGUCACCCUUUGGAUACUCAGCCGCGACUGUUGCAGCAGCAGUUGACAGUGUUUGUUCAAAGGAGUGGUAUUGGCUAGUGGCUCUAAGAAGCAGACUGAUUAACAAAGGAAAUCACAAUAUUAGGAUCUGGAGAUGGAAUGGUUAUCUAAUUCAGUAUACUGUAGCCGGGCAUAAAGGUCCUGCAAUUCUUCUUGUGCAUGGUUUUGGUGCUUUUUGGGAGCAUUACCGUGACAAUGUAACCAGUAUAGCUGGCGACAAAAACCGGGUUUGGGCAAUUACCCUUCUGGGUUUUGGCAGAUCAGAAAAACCAAAUGUUGUAUACACUGAACUGAUGUGGGCCGAAUUGGUAAGAGAUUUUAUAGUUGAAGUUGUUGGGGAACAAGUGCAUCUUGUUGGAAACUCGCUUGGGGGCUAUUUUGUUGCUAUUAUAGCUGGUCUAUGGCCUGCAUUAGUGAAGUCAGUUAUUCUUUUAAACAGUGCCGGCUUUGUCAUUCCUGGGUUUUCUUCUAUGACUUCUUCCAAAGAAAGACAAGUUUCUGGGGCUGUAUGGUUGGGUGCCAGAGUUCUGCUUCUCUACCUGAGGUCAAGUAUCCGCAGUAUAGUGAAGAAAUGCUACCCAAAUAACCCGGAUCGUGCUGAUGAUUGGCUUAUUAACGAAAUGACUACAGCUUCAUAUGAUCCUGGUGUGGUCAGGGUCCUAGAAAGCAUCUUCAGCUUUGAUCUAUCAAUUCCUUUGAACUAUCUUUUGAAAGGAAUGGAGAAAAGAGUCCUUGUUAUACAGGGAAUGAAUGAUCCAAUUUCGGACUCCAAAUCAUUUUUAGCUAUGCUUACAGAACAGUGCAGAGGAAUAACAACCAAAGAAAUAGAUGCUGGGCACUGCCCACACGAUGAGCAGCCAGGAGAGGUUAAUUCUAUUAUCCUGGAAUGGGUUGUUAAAAUUGAAGAUGAUAGUUAUUCUACUCAGGUACAACUUGAAUUCACGAACAACUGAACCAUGGGGACCUUCUGCAACCCCAGGAUAUGAUGAAGUGAGAUUCUUGGUCUCUCUCAAUAUCUCUCUUGAUUUGAUUAAGUACAAGGAAAACACAAUGAAGAGGUUAUCUAGUCUGGGUUGGGAAUCCGACGGUUUAGCAAUGCAGAAAGCCCUCGUCGAGUCGAGCCUUUAGUUGCAUAGAAGGAAAGAAUAAUGAUUGUAGCCACUGUAAUUCUGGCUUACUCUGUAAGGUGCAGAAUAUAACAUUCCGUGGGACUGGUGCAUUCUUAACCUUGUAUAGUUAUGGUUUUGUGCCAGACCACGCAAUGCACGUCUCCCUCAACUUAAAGCUCUGGCCAUAUCUGUGGCCCCUCUAACAUGUGAUAUGCUUUCAAUCUUCGUAUGCUGUAUAUAUGUAUAUACUUCUCUAAUCUUUCACCUUCAUCUCUCAUUAGCAACUGCUGCCGACAUGACCAGAUCGUACUACCUCGUCCCCUUCUUUCUCCUCCUCGCCUUCUAUUCUGAGGCAGCUUCCUCUCCUAUACCAGCUAACAUUGGCUUCAUCAAGUCCUCAUGCAACGCUACAGCUUAUCCUGACCUGUGCAUUAGUUCGCUCUCCCUCUAUGCCACAACCAUUCAAAACAGUCCGCACCAAAUGGCCGUGAUGGCCUUGGAGGUGAGUCUGAACCGGACCAAGUUAGCUCAAACCUUCAUGCAUCUGCUCACCAAGUUCAAGGGUCUUACAGCUAAACAACAAGAGGCUAUCGCGGAUUGCAAAGACGAGGUCGAAGAUAGCUUGGAUCGGGUGAACAGGUCCUCCAUAGAGAUGAAGAGUCUAGGUCAGGCCGGUGGUCAGGAGUUCAUUUGGCACAUGAGCAAUGUCGAGACAUGGAUCAGUGCUGCCCUCACCGAUGAUACUACUUGUAUGGAUGGGUUUUCGGAUCUGGCUACAGAGGGAAAAAUAAAGGAAUCAGUUAGGGCACAAAUAACUAGUGUUGCGCAUUAUACCAGCAAUGCUCUGGCCUUGAUCAAUAGUUUUGCUGCAAUGCAGAAGCACUAAAAGUAUAACCAAAUGAGUACUAUAUACUAUGUCUAUGUCCAAGGACUAAGGAUUGUGCAAGUUCAUAUAGAGCACUUUUUUCUUUUUAUGUUACGUUUGUAAGAUAAAAUGUUGUAAACUUGUUUAUGAUUACUUGAAUAAAACUAUUUGUCUGUCUAA